rnacentral:rRNA from 1 species
GACGAACGCUGGCGGCGUGCUUAACACAUGCAAGUCGAACGGUGAAGCGCCUUCCUUUUUGGUGGGUGUGGAUGAGUGGCGAACGGGUGAGUAACACGUGAGUAACCUGCCCCCUUCUUCUGGAUAACCGCAUGAAAGUGUGGCUAAUACGGGAUAUUCUGGGUCUGUCGCAUGAUGGGUCUGGGAAAGAUAUUGUUUCGGUGGGGGAUGGGCUCGCGGCCUAUCAGCUUGUUGGUGGGGUGAUGGCCUACCAAGGCGGUGACGGGUAGCCGGCCUGAGAGGGUGGACGGUCACACUGGGAGUGAGACACGGCCCAGACUCCUACGGGAGGCAGCAGUGGGGAAUAUUGCACAAUGGGCGCAAGCCUGAUGCAGCGACGCCGCGUGAGGGAUGGAGGCCUUCGGGUUGUGAACCUCUUUCGCCAGUGAAGCAGGCCUGCCUCGUUUGUGGGUGGGUUGACGGUAGCUGGAUAAGAAGCGCCGGCUAACUACGUG